AUUGAACGCUGGCGGCAGGCCUAACACAUGCAAGUCGAACGGUAACAGGAAGCAGCUUGCUGCUUUGCUGACGAGUGGCGGACGGGUGAGUAAUGUCUGGGAAACUGCCCGAUGGAGGGGGAUAACUACUGGAAACGGUAGCUAAUACCGCAUAACGUCGCAAGACCAAAGAGGGGGACCUUAGGGCCUCUUGCCAUCGGAUGUGCCCAGAUGGGAUUAGCUAGUAGGUGGGGUAACGGCUCACCUAGGCGACGAUCCCUAGCUGGUCUGAGAGGAUGACCAGCCACACUGGAACUGAGACACGGUCCAGACUCCUACGGGAGGCGGCAGUGGGGAAUAUUGCACAAUGGGCGCAAGCCUGAUGCAGCCAUGCCGCGUGUAUGAAGAAGGCCUUCGGGUUGUAAAGUACUUUCAGCGGGGAGGAAGGGAGUAAAGUUAAUUCCUUUGCUCAUUGACGUUACCCGCAGAAGAAGCACCGGCUAACUCCGUG
rnacentral:rRNA from 1 species